CAGAAACCAGAAAGAAAGAAAGAGAGAGAGAGAGAGAAAGAAAGAAAGAAAGAAAGAAAGAAAGAAAGAAAGAGAUCUUCCGGCAAAUUCUGGCAGCACAAAAAUGGUGAUCGAUGGAUUGAUUUGGCGGACGAUUCGUGAAAUUGUUGUUUCAGCUGUUAAGAAGACGCAGCUGGAUUAGAGGUGAUCGAUGGAUUGAUUUGGCGGAUGAUUCGUGAAAUUGUUGUUUGAGCUGUUAAGAAGUCGCAGCUGGAUUAGAGCGGGUAAUCUCACAGGUCAGGAGAAU